GAUGAAGAACGCAGCGAAAUGCGAUACGUAAUGUGAAUUGCAGAAUUCAGUGAAUCAUCGAAUCUUUGAACGCAUAUUGCGCUCUUUGGUAUUCCGAAGAGCAUGCUUGUUUGAGUAUCAGUAAACACCUCAAAGCUUUUGGAUUUUUUAAUCGAAAAGCUUUGGACUUGAGCAAUCCCAACACCAAUCUUUUUGAGAUCGGUGGCGGGUUGCUUGAAAUGCAGGUGCAGCUGGACAUUCUCCUGAGCUAAAAGCAUAUUAAUUUAGUCCCGUCAAACGGAUUAUUACUUUUGCUGCAGCUAACAUAAAGGGAGUUUGACCGUAUUGGCUGACUGAUGCAGGAUUUCACAAGGGUCGGCAACGAUUCUUGUUAAACUCGAUCUCAAAUCAAGUAAGACUACCCGCUGAACUUAAGCAUAUCAAUAAGCGGAGGA
rnacentral:misc_RNA from 1 species